UAGCAGAAGCAUGGGGGAUCUGGUAAGGAGAUGGAUUUCUGUGUGAAGUCACUGCCCUGAGCCCAGGCUCCUCCCCAGCAGCUGCCCCAGGGUGGGCACAGCUUUGGCAGCACAGCACAGCCCACGUGGGAGUGAGCAGGAGAUGAAAAUUGUUCCCUUGUACAUCCAGGAUAAUCUGUGGAUGUCUCACGGGGAUUUCAGUGGGCAUGUGCAUUCAGGAGGGGAAAACACAGCCCAGAGCUCUGCCAAACACAAACUGCAGUGGAUGGAGAGAAGGGAGGUGGAUGGAUCCGUCUCUUGCUGCUGGUUGCAGUGGGAGCCAGCAGGUUGUGCUCACGAACAAGAAAUGCACAGCUCUGCCGCCGGGAUGCUCCGCAGCGAAAGCAAAGCUACAGGAUAAAAACAACUCCUCUUUCUGCAGGGCUUUUCUCCAGCUCAUUACCAUCUACGUGUUUUAACAGCCCAUAAAGCCACAAGGAUCUGGCACUUAUUAAAUUCUGUUAUUAAAAAAAAGAAAUGAUGAA